CAACGUCAACGCGGGAGCUUCCAACGCAGGAGGCUGAGAGGGCGGCUGGGACCCACCCACAGUGCCGCCGACCGCCAGAACCUGUCCGGGUAAUGCCGGCGUAGGGAGGCUGUCACAUGGUGCUG
rnacentral:ncRNA from 2 species